rnacentral:tRNA from 1 species
AUCUUUGUGGUGUAAUUGAAAGCACACUCGACGCGUACUCGAGAGGUCCAGGGUUCGAUUCCCGACGAAGGCA